GGUCACCGUGAGGGCCGACGAAGUUGGACAUGAAGUCCCUGGCGAGCGCUUUGUCUGCAGCGAGGUCGAAGUCUUCAUACCGGCGGCAGCGGCGGCGAGUGAGUGGGAGGCGGAGAAGGCCGGGAUGCAGGAGGGAGGCGGCAAACUGCUCUCUGUGCUAAUGGCUCGACGCAGCCACACCUUGGAUGGCUUAGAGGGGCAAGACGUGGUUUAAAUAGGCUGGAGCACCACGUCGGCUGUAACAGAAUCCAUCGAUUUCUGGGGGAUUUGUUCCGGAGU
rnacentral:lncRNA from 7 species